AGUGACUUUGCCCUAAGAUCACGGAUCUGGGCAGAGGUGAAGCUAUCGGCAGCCAGAGCCUGCUUUUUUCACCAGCAACCCCCCCCACCCCACCCCCGCAGGCAGAGCCGAGGUUUGAAGGUAAGCCAGCUGUUCCAUUCUUGCACAACUCUCGUUCAGAUCUCCUUCCUUGUGCCGAGCCGAACUGCCCCUUCGGGGCCGCAGGGCACACGCAUGCUCCCUUCUCCUCGCCACAGGCCUUGGGGAUUGGAGGACACCACCAGGUCAGCCCUAAGUCUCCUCUUGCAGGGAAAACAAACACAGCCCCAGUCGGCUCAUCCUCGGACACCGUGUUUUCCCAGCCGCCGCGACCCAGUUUGUAAAGGUCCCUCGGAGACCAGAGGGGGGACCGCCACCCCUCGCUGGAGACCCCUCACCGCUGCAAGCACAGGACGAGUUGUGACUCCAAGGAGGUCUGGCCACAGAAUCAGUGGGGCCCCGCGCAAAAUGAAAACGCAAAGUCCCUUUUCAAACGUUAUCGGGAGUUUCAGGCUGCUGACAGUGGGCUGGUGAGUCGGCCCCACGGGACCCCGUGUGGCUGCAUGAACUGGCCCUGAUUCUGUGCUCAGGGUCAUUCAACAUGAGCUGAGUAAGGAAGUGAGGUCCGAAUCAAAGCCAGAGAAAGGAUAACACGAGAGCUCGAUAGAACAUUUCAUCACCUCUGCCCAAUGUAAACGAUGCCAACGUUCUAUUAUCAAUAACAACAUGAACAACAUUUUAUCAUAAAUAACGACACGAACAACAAUGACACUUGCAGAGGGGCGCCCGGCUGGCUCAGCCGGUAGAGCGUGCGGCUCUUGAUCUUGGGGCCAUGAGUUCGAGCCCCACGCUGGGCGGAGAGAUUACUUCAAAAGAAAAGAAAAAAGACAACAUUGUACGGUGUUCACGAUGUGCCUGGGGGAAUGUUAACCUGAUCUUCGACAUCCUGUUGAGCAUUUUGGAGGAAGCACUCACAACGACAUCACCUCCAGUUUCCAGAGAAGGUUCCUGAAGCGCCUGGGAGGGAGCAACCAUAGCAAAGAGAUCGCGACUGGAGGGCUCAAACCCAGGAUCACACGGCCACAGAGCCCACGCCCUUUGUAGUUCAACCUCUACCCUUUGGUAGCCCACAUAACAGGUCUGUAGUGUAUUAAAUAGUGUCCUCCG